rnacentral:lncRNA from 1 species
CCUCCAUUUGAGUAAAACUUUACCCGUUGAACACAUCGGAAUAUAAUUCGGAUACAUGGAUAAUUUGCAUAUAAGUGCCACAUAUUCAAUCAAGCCAUCAUGUAACCCGCCCAUAAGCGAACUCGGACUCAACUCAACGAGCUCGGGCGUUCGCAUCCAUAAGUGAACUCGGACUCAACUCAACGAGUUCGGAUGCCUAGUUACAUCUCACGAACUCGGACUCAACUCAACGAGUUCGGACAUUCGCAUCCAUAAGUGAACUCGGACUCAACUCAACGAGUUCGGAUGCUCAACCAUCCUAGUGACAUGUCACUUGUAUCCUAAUCUAUUCCUAAGGUUCAAAUGGGAUUUUUCUCGAACACUUAUCCU